rnacentral:lncRNA from 1 species
CGCUGUUCGAAUUCAUAUUCGAGUUGCUAGCACGUCAUUGGGCAGCGACCAUGCUGGGGCACCGUAUUCAAGGAUUUUAAUAGAAUACAUUGAUCUCAGUACUUAGGCUGUGUUUUAAAAUCUGUUAUUGAACAGCGGUCAUGGACAACAUAUGGAAGGGUUUAAUCGAAUUGUGGUUACAGUAGAAGACAUUUUCCCAAGGUGCCAUGCCGUGGGACUGAACCCGAAACCAAAUUGUAGCAAAGCGAACUUCUUAUCCACACGGUCACGCUAGCACCUAUUUAAGUUUCUCGCUAUGUGCCCCGUUGCAGUUACACAGAAGGUAACAACAGCAAAAACAACAACAACAACAACAGCAUCAGCAGUUUCCGUCUGCCAA